UACGUAGGGUGCAAGCGUUAAUCGGAAUUACUGGGCGUAAAGCGUGCGCAGGCGGUUUGCUAAGACAGGUGUGAAAGCCCCGGGCUUAACCUGGGAAUGGCAUUUGGGACUGCAAGGCUGGAGUGUGGCAGAGGAGACUGGAAUUCCUGGUGUAGCAGUGAAAUGCGUAGAUAUCAGGAGGAAUACCGAUGGCGAAGGCAGGUCUCUGGGCUAACACUGACGCUCAUGCACGAAAGCGUGGGGAGCAAACAGG
rnacentral:rRNA from 1 species